rnacentral:rRNA from 1 species
UACGUAGGGUGCGAGCGUUGUCCGGAAUUAUUGGGCGUAAAGAGCUCGUAGGCGGUGUGUCACGUCGGCCGUGAAAACUUGCAGCUUAACUGUGGGCGUGCGGUCGAUACGGGCAUCACUGGAGUUCGGCAGGGGAGACUGGAAUUCCUGGUGUAGCGGUGAAAUGCGCAGAUAUCAGGAGGAACACCGGUGGCGAAGGCGGCAUUCUGGACCGAAACUGACGCUGAUGCGCGAAAGCCAGGGGAGCAAACGGG